UUCAAGCAUUCACGCAGCCGGAUCCAACAUACGCCUUAAGUAUUGUGUACACAGUGUUGCUAUCCAGCGUGAAAUGUUUAGACCACGCAUGGUUUGAAAGGACAAAAGUGGUUCCAAGGAAAGCUUCAACACCUGGAACAUCUAAUCAGGGCUUCGUCAAUGAGAACUGAUUGGACGUCACUGCAAGUCCUAACACAAAAACUAGAUAAUACAGCUCACUUCGUAGACAUCGUACUCUCCAGACAGGUGAUAGCACUCUCCACAAAAGUGACUUUAUACUGAGGCGACAUCCCUACACACAUUUUAACAAGUGAAAAAAGUUUUACUUGAAAAUGACGAGACCUCUAGCGGGUCGAGGGAUGGCGAAACCAAUGGCUAACCUUUGGUUCGUCUUGUUGAUUCACCUGACUGUUGUAUCAAGGACCACAAGCCAAAUGUGCAACACUUUCAUCCCAUGGGACUAUAAUGGGACUAUCGAGUCGCCAGGAUUUCCACAGGAAUACUAUGGGGACCAGAACUGUUCGUACACCUCUUAUUACGUGAGUCCUUAUGAGGCACCUGG